rnacentral:rRNA from 1 species
UGGGGAUUAUUGGACAAUGGGGGGAACCCUGAUCCAGCCAUGCCGCGUGUGUGAAGAAGGCCUUAUGGUUGUAAAGCACUUUAAGCGAGGAGGAGGGUACUGGUAUUAAUACUACCAGCUACUGGACGUUACUCGCAGAAUAAGCACCGGCUAACUCUGUGCCAGCAGCCGCGGUAAUACAGAGGGUGCGAGCGUUAAUCGGAUUUACUGGGCGUAAAGCGUGCGUAGGCGGCUAAUUAAGUCGGAUGUGAAAUCCCCGAGCUUAACUUGGGAAUUGCAAUCGAGACUGGUUAGCUGGAGUGUGGGAGAGGAUGGUAGAAUUCCAGGUGUAGCGGUGAAAUGCGUAGAGAUCUGGAGGAAUACCGAUGGAGAAGGCAGCCAUCUGGCCUAACACUGACGCUAAGGUACGAAAGCAUGGGGAGCAAACAGG